UAUCCAUCCAAUCGUAGACAGUGUUACAUAGAGUUCCACAGACGUAUCCAAGAGUAAAGCAAUACAGUCGAAUCCGAUUAGUGAUGGUAAUGUUUUCCCCGCUUGAAGCCUGCCAACUCAGAACAUCUGUAAAACACAUGAAUUGGAUAUAUUCUUUGAUUGGACAUGGAAGGUUUCAGCAAAGCUGGCUGGAGAACUGGAAAAUAAACAUAUUUGGCGUACAGCAACAAAAUGCUGUUGACGUGUUGCACUGACGUAAUUCAAUUAAAAACUGGAGCAAACGAACAGACGCACACACAUACAACAUGUUUGCAGGUUAGAGAGCUGGUCGUUUGUUGGACCUGUUUAGUGAGUCCAAGUUGUCUGAUGACUCGAGACAGCUGUUCAUUAUGGAAACUGGUCGCUUACGAUCAGCAUCAUUAAGUCGCUCGUUUAAUACUCACGGAAAGAGGCAAGGGUCGGCAACUCUUAAAAAUGCCAGAUGUCGCUUGUGCAAGGCGGUCGCGUUGAGAGACACAUAAAUUUGUUUAGAAAAGAAACAUGAACAAAAGCAUCUAGUGGCAAUGAAGACAUGAAGUUAGAGAUGACACGAACUCAAGUCUGGAAGUAUUACAAACACGCACCAGCGCAAGCACACGUCUUUCUAAUGUAACUAGAUUUCAGAAUUUUUUGUAGAAAGUAGUUUAAAUGUUUGUGUUAUUCAAUAAAGCACUGCACAGUCUAUUCACUGUCUCAGACCCUCUCUAUGUUUUUUCUGUAGAUAUAUAUGUAGAUAGAUAGGUAGACAGACAGACCGAAGGACGGACUUCAGAUAGACAGACAGAAAGACAGACUGAUAGAUAGACUGUAGACAGAUAGAUAGAUGUGUCUCUCUCAUUGGCAUUGUUCCUUUCUGCUCAUUCU